rnacentral:rRNA from 1 species
GACGUAGGGCGCGAGCGUUGUCCGGAUUUAUUGGGCGUAAAGAGCUCGUAGGCGGCUUGUCGCGUCGACUGUGAAAACCCGCGGCUCAACUGCGGGCUUGCAGCCGAUACGGGCAGACUAGGAGUGCGGGUUAGGGGAGACUGGAAAUUCCUGGUGUAGCGGUGAAAUGCGUAGAUAUCGGGAGGAACACCAGUGGCGAAGGCGACUUCCUGGCCUGUUCUUGACGCGUGAGGCGGC